ACACUGUUGCGACAACAUCAAGCUAACGAUGACGCCGUGAACAAGACCCUUAUUUGAACGCAGUUGGAAUCGUGUGGGUUAAAUAACGACUUCGCCCUCACUCUCGACCUCGCCCUCCAAGCAGGCGCUGACAUGCUGGCAACCACGUGACCCGUUAAAAAUCUUUACAGAACGAUUUGUAAACUCAAUUUAGGCGCAUUCCCUAGGUUGUGCGAGGAAAGUCUGUCAGGUCUUAGUCAAUCAACAUGGCGGUUGUGCGCGACGGUAAACCCCUCCUCUUGCUUCUGCCGUUACUGCUGCCCCUCCUUGUGCUUUUAAUUGACCAAGCCCAAGCCGGGCGAGGUUGGAUGGUCUGUCAAACUGGCCGCUGUCCAGGGGGGUACUACCGCUGCUUUGGCCACCGUUGUGACUACGCCCGCUGUAGCUGCGUGGAUUACGGAGGCCGCGAGGACCACCCGGGACAGGUGCAGUACGGGGUGGAUAUGACUUACAACAACGGCUAUUCCAACAGCUACAGCACCUCCCACUCGAGCAGUUCUAGUAGCGGAUACAAUGCGUACAACCGCUGGUAUCAGAACUACCUGAGAAACUAUUACGCCAACUACUAUAACAGAUACGGUUGAAUGAAGGCGCAGCAGAGAAAGCUACACAGGAAGCAACAGAGACUUAAAACCUGCCAAGUAGGAGAUUCGAUGAAAUAAUCAUACGACGAAAGACCUUGAAGCCAGACCAAGUUUUGCAAUGCGGAUGGGGGCUUUCUUCGGCGAUUGCCAAAUAAUAUGUUAAAACACCCGGGUCAAUGUGUGCAUCACCUUCUAUAUCACACUGUUCCGCUGUAUUAUAAGAUACGAUUGUAACAUUAUAGAAAUAAAAAUACAACGAUAUUAAAAUUAUGACGAUGUUUUUAGUAUAAUUUACAUAUAUAUAUAUAUUGCAACAAGAGACACGACGGAGAGAGGAAAGAGCGGAAGAAGUGAU